GGUGAGAUGGCCGAGCGGUUAAGGCGCCAGACUAAGGUUGAUCGAUCAUCGGGACCAAGUCACAUGGUGAUCAUAAAAUCUGGUCCGAAAGGGCGUGGGUUCGAAUCCCACUCUCAUCA